rnacentral:lncRNA from 1 species
GCAACAUGCCACGCAAGCCUCAUGACUAUCCACUCUAACACCUGUGUGUACGCUCAAGCCUGGGUAGUGGGCUUAUCUCUCAUGGAACAUCCCACCCCAACAAACAAACCACAGAACCCACAGAUACAACAAACAUAUGUACACAAUGCAAUAAGAUAAAGCAGACAAAUAAAUAACUGUACAAAAGAAAUGAACACCCAAUAAACAAACAACCUACAAAAGCUAGGAGGGACUCGCUUAGGGAAACCGGUCCCCAGCAGAGUCGCCAGC